GCGGUGACGAGCAAGGAGGCCGCCGAACGGAGUCUUGCUCCGGCUGAUCCGGCCGGCGAAGAAGGUGAGGGGACGCCAACGGUCCCAGAAGCCCCGGACGCCCCCGCCCCUCCUGAUGAGGCCAUGGGCAAUACAGAACCUGCGAGU